AACAGUCAUGCAGCUGUAGAAAAUGCAGCAGAGGGGAAGGCCACAGGAUCAGUGGGCAGCCUGGCAUCAUGAUUAAGUGGAGAUACCAUCACAGAACACCUGAGACUUAGAGCUACACACAACAGGCUGUGCGGUGAUGUGCUGGGCAACAGAACAUCGAUUUCGACGUCAAAAGACCUUCAUAGUGCUUCCGAAUUCUGACUUACCUUAGCUGUCUUUCCUUUUGUGAAGCACCAACCACUGAAGUUCAUUUUGGAAUCAUGGCCACCCAGAAGAGGAAAGGGGUGAUCAUGUGUCUCAAAGAAGAGAUAACUUUGAGGGAGAGGAUGAAAACUGCAAAGACCCUUGGGAUUAAAUGAAAUCUGCUGAUUCUACUCUUUUUUCAUGAAUUUCUGUAUGAUAUUUAGCAAUUAGAAUGUUUGACUGGCAAUGGCCAGGUAGAUUUCACCAUUAUGUAACAAAGAGAAUAAAAAA
rnacentral:lncRNA from 1 species